rnacentral:tRNA from 2 species
GGUCAUUUGGUCUAGUGGUAUGAUUCUCGCUUUGGGUGUGAGAGGUCCCGAGUUCAAUUCUCGGAAUGCCCC